AUAGUAUGACUACGUUGGGCCAACAUUGGUAAAUGGUUGUAUGGUGGGCGUGGGGUAGACAACGUUGGGCCAACAUUGGGCCAAUGUUACCAUGCCAAUCGUCUCAACCAUGUUGGGAUUUCUAUGUUGGCCCAACGCUGGUCCAACUUAAACUAACUUUAUUUUCCGAGAAUGUUGGGAUUCUGAAGUUGGUCCAAUGUUGAAAUGCAUCUUUAACAAAGAUGUUUAAUUAAGUUUGUAAUAGUACGUUGACCCAGCGUUGGCCCGGUGUUGGCAUGAAUUCUUUUAUAUAUUAAGUGUUUCAAGUUGGGGUGAUUACAUUAGCCCAAUGUUGGCCCAAUAACUGUACUGCGAACUAAAUGCAAGAUGGGGAGCAUUACGUUGGGCCAACGUUGGUUCCACGUUUGUAAACUUUUUAUCUUGAUGUUGUGAUUACAUAACGUUAAAGAAUGCUGCAUUGAAGAGGCAGAUUCUGAUAUAGUUAGAAGACAUUCUUUGUUCAUGCAUGCAAUUGGAUGACUACAUCCAUUUAUAUUUGUUUUUAAGAACUUAAGAAUGUGACCAACACAUUGAAUAGUUGUUGUUUUUUUCUAUUCGUUGAAGCGGGUGCAUGAUUAUUUAUUUAGAUUUGAAAUCCUAAGCUCAAAAUUCUAACCCAAUCUAUGAAUGAAUGACUUAAAUUGUUUCAUGAGUGUUGCAUUAGAAAACUGAAUAAAAAUUUUCUUAUAACAAUAUAAGUUCCCUGGGACAGGAUGUGAAUAAAUAUAUAAAUCAAGACACUCCAACCAGUUUUAUAAUUACAUUGAAACGAAGCUCAGGCGAGUUGUUAAAACUGGGGAGUCGCAGCGAUUAAAACACCAAACUGUGGGAUGAGCCGUCAAAUUCAAUUACACACAGGUGGUUGAUAAACUCAAUAUGCAGAGCAAGUGAGAAGUGGGAGUUUAAUUUUUUGGAUUAAUCAACUUUUACAUGCAGCUGCUUCUUUAAAAAGAUCUUGGAAAACUUGUAUGCAUUGGAGGCGACAGUGUUCAAACGUGUUCAGGGAUACUGUCCUUUUUGAUGGCGACAACCUUAGCAUUGCAAUUAAAUUGGAGUGGGAAAGGAACAAAAAGAGGACUGUCAAAUUUAGAAUUAAGAGACAUAAUAAAGGCUGUCAGGAUAAAAAAAAUCUGAAAGAGCGGCAAAAGUAACAAAAGGACAGUGAGGAAGUGAGCCAGGAUUAAAAACUUCAUUUUCCAGAAAUGUCUACCAUCAUCUAUUUCAAACCUAUUUUGUAACUUUUGACAAUUUAAUUCAUAUAAAAAAUCAUUUUACAGAGAA